GUAGUCUGGAACCUGCGGUUUGUGCAGGGGUCGGUGGCAGGUAUUUAUAUUUAUCUUUAUUCAUAUUUGGGGCAUACUUAUACUAAAAAAGUAUUUGUUGUUCAUCAGAAAUUUAAAGUUAAAACCCAGUGUCUCAGGGCUGGAGGUACCUAAGGAACGUCCCUUUGUACAGAUGGGGAGACUGAGCCCCAGGGUGCAGCAGACAGUAGCCCUGGCUCUCAGCACGUUAUCAUCCCAGGCUCCGUACAGCUGCCUAAGGAGUCAGGGCUUCCUUUCUGUCCCAAGUGAGAAGUGGCAUUGGUGCCGAUUAAGAGCCUGGGCUCAAAUCCCAACUCCUCCAUUUCCCAGCUGUGUGGCUUUGGGCAAGUCGCUUCACCUCUCAGAGUCUCAGUUUCCUCAGAUAUAAUGAUAAAGAAUCAAGCACUCUCCCUGCCAGCAGCAUGUGAGAAUUCUGUUUGUUUGUUUGUUUGUUUGUUUGUUUUUGAGAUGUAGUCUCUGUCACCUAGGCUGGAGUGCAGUGGCUUGAUCUCAGCUCACCGCAACCUCCACCUCCUGGGUUCAAGCAAUUCCUGUGUCUCAGCCUCCUGAGUAGCUGUAAAUUACAGGCGUGAGCUACCGCGCCCGGCUAGAAAGGGAGUUUCUGAGUGUGCUGCUGGGUCACUGAGCACCUACUGUGUGCCAGCCGUGUGGUGGGUGCUGGGGACACAGCCGGGACCCCAGCAAAGCCACACUAUCCACCGACACGGAGCUCGAAGUCCAAAGGAGGAGGUGGAUUGUGUGACCAG
rnacentral:lncRNA from 10 species